AACGAACGCUGGCGGCAGGCCUCAAACAUGCAAGUCUAGGGGGUGUAGCAAUACAUCACCGGCGGACGGGUGCGUAACACGUGGGAAUAUACCUUUUGGUUCGGAACAACGCAGGGAAACUUGCGCUAAUACCGAAUGUGCCCUUACGGGGAAAGAUUUAUCGCCAAAGGAUUAGCCCGCGUAGGAUUAGCUAGUUGGUGAGGUAAUGGCUCACCAAGGCUCCGAUCCUUAGCUGUUCUGAGAGGAAGAUCAGCCACACUGGGACUGAGACACGGCCCAGACUCCUACGGGAGGCAGCAGUUGGGAAUCUUGGACAAUGGGGGAAACCCUGAUCCAGCCAUGCCGCGUGAGUGAUGAAGGCCUU
rnacentral:rRNA from 1 species